rnacentral:misc_RNA from 1 species
UGAAAGUUUAGAGAUUACAAGAUUCUACACAAAGCUUGAAACCCAUAUUAACAACUAGAUAAUAUGGAAGUCAGGACUCAAGAGUACAAAACAACUUCAAGGCAACCCGACUGGAUCAUCUGCAAACUCGUCGAAACAUAUACUCUACCUCGGUUGCUGAAUCUUCCGUUGUCUCACUUUCACAUCCACAAUCUUGGGUGCCUUCUCCAUAUACCUCGUUGCCUGAGCCAGCUGAGCUCGACCCUUUUGCCUUUUCAUCACUCCCACUGAACCCAAAUCCCUGCUUCGCUCGUUUUUCUCCAGUUUGUGGAUGCAAGUAUCAUGGACGUAGAGGUCGAAGAGGAGAGAAUCGAGGUCGUAAACAUCGUUGGUAAGAGAUUCAAUUCGGCGGUCGAAUACGCGUUUUAUUGCCAUUAUAUCGGGAUUCACUGCUGAUGCGUAGUCCAUUGUGUCGAUUAUUGCCAUUAUAUCUCCUUUUUCUUUUUCUAUGCAAUGCUCCACCAUUGCCACUCUGAAACAAAGAAAAAUGAAAAAAAUAAUCUGAUCUUGAAAGCAGAGAGAGAGAGAGAGAGAGAGAG